AAAGUACUCCCUCCGUCCCAAAAUUCUUGUCUUGGAUUUUUCUAGAUACGGAUGUAUCAAGUCACAUUUUAGUAUUAGAUACAUCCAUAUCUAGACAAAUCUAAGACAAGAAAUUUGGGACAGAGGGAGUAGUUG
rnacentral:pre_miRNA from 1 species